AUAUUGGUCAAUGGACGAGAGUCUGAACCAGCCAAGUAGCGUGAAGGAUGAAGGUCCUACGGAUUGUAAACUUCUUUUAUACGGGAAUAAAGUUUCCUACGUGUAGGAUUUUGUAUGUACCGUAUGAAUAAGCAUCGGCUAACUCCGUGCCAGCAGCCGCGGUAAUACGGAGGAUGCGAGCGUUAUCCGGAUUUAUUGGGUUUAAAGGGAGCGCAGGCUGCGAGGCAAGUCAGCGGUCAAAUGUCGGGGCUCAACCCCGGCCUGCCGUUGAAACUGUCCUGCUAGAGUUCGAGUGAGGUAUGCGGAAUGCGUUGUGUAGCGGUGAAAUGCAUAGAUAUGACGCAGAACUCCGAUUGCGAAGGCAGCAUACCAACUCGCGACUGACGCUGAGGCUCGAAAGCGUGGGUAUCGAACAGGAUUAGAUACCCUGGUAGUCCACGCAGUAAACGAUGAAUACUAACUGUUCGGAGGGCGACCUCUGAGUGGUAAAGCGAAAGCGUUAAGUAUUCCACCUGGGGAGUACGCCGGCAACGGUGAAACUCAAAGGAAUUGACGGGGGCCCGCACAAGCGGAGGAACAUGUGGUUUAAUUCGAUGAUACGCGAGGAACCUUACCCGGGCUUAAAUUGCAGACGAAUUACGAGGAAACUUGUAAGCCGCAAGGCGUCUGUGAAGGUGCUGCAUGGUUGUCGUCAGCUCGUGCCGUGAGGUGUCGGCUUAAGUGCCAUAACGAGCGCAACCCCCGCGUCCAGUUGCCAGCGAGUAGAGUCGGGCACUCUGGACGGACUGCCGGCGCAAGCCGCGAGGAAGGCGGGGAUGACGUCAAAUCAGCACGGCCCUUACGUCCGGGGCGACACACGUGUUACAAUGGCGUGGAACAGAGGGAAGCCACCUGGCGACAGGGAGCGGAACCCGAAAACACGUCUCAGUUCGGAUUGGAGUCUGCAACUCGACUCCAUGAAGCUGGAUUCGCUAGUAAUCGCGCAUCAGCCAUGGCGCGGUGAAUACGUUCCCGGGCCUUGUACACACCGCCCGUCAAGCCAUGGGAGCCGGGGGUACCUGAAGUGCGUAACCGCGAGGAGCGCCCUAGGGUAAAACUGGUGACUGGGGCUAAGUCGUAACAAGGUAGCCGUACCGGAAGGUGCGGCUG
rnacentral:rRNA from 1 species